UACGUAGGGUGCGAGCGUUAAUCGGAAUUACUGGGCGUAAAGCGUGCGUAGGCGGUUCUCCAAGUCCGUUGUGAAAGCCCGGGCUCAACCUGGGAAUGGCAGUGGAAACUAGGGGACUGGAAUCUGGCAGAGGGGGGUGGAAUGCCGCGUGUAGCAGUGAAAUGCGUAGAGAUGCGGCGGAACACCGAUGGCGAAGGCAGCCCCCUGGGCUGAGAUUGACGCUCAGGCACGAAAGCGUGGGGAGCAAACAGG
rnacentral:rRNA from 1 species